rnacentral:tRNA from 1 species
GCCCCAUUAGCUCAGCUGGAUAGAGCAGUGGACUUCUAAUCCGAAGGUCGGAGGUUCGAAUCCUCCAUGGGGCG